AUAUUCUCAUUCGGACGCCAGACCAAUAUUGAUCACCUUGGCGACAAGGCAAGGUCGAGUGCCUCUGAAACGCCAGCAGGCAUGCCACCCCAGCCGCCGGUCAUUCCUGUACCGCCUGAAAAGAACAAGAUACGUAAUUCUCAUUACCAUCCCAAUGACUGGUGCUGUAGACUGCUGGCGGGUUCUGUUCUGAAUAAAAUGAGAUUUUCUGCAAUCGCAUUGUCGUUCUCACUCUUUUAAGGGGCGCUUAAUUUUUCAUAUUUCUUUUAUUUUUUAAAGUUGAGUCCUCCAGAUGCAAUGAAGGCCAUUGAGUGUGGAGUCGUUGGGCCUUGUUCUUCUAUUGACUGCCUUUUUCGGGAGGGAGCUUUUAUAGACUUGCACGGUGACCUCUGAGUUCCAGAAUCCCCGGAACUAAACGUUCAUUCGCGUCUUUUCUGGAACUGGGAAGCAGUCUGUCCUCACAAGAAAAUCCGUUGUCAAACACGGUAGUAAUAAUCGGGC
rnacentral:sRNA from 2 species